CGGUAGCUAAUACCGCAUAAUGUCGCAAGACCAAAGUGGGGGACCUUCGGGCCUCAUGCCAUCAGAUGUGCCCAGAUGGGAUUAGCUAGUAGGUGGGGUAACGGCUCACCUAGGCGACGAUCCCUAGCUGGUCUGAGAGGAUGACCAGCCACACUGGAACUGAGACACGGUCCAGACUCCUACGGGAGGCAGCAGUGGGGAAUAUUGCACAAUGGGCGCAAGCCUGAUGCAGCCAUGCCGCGUGUGUGAAGAAGGCCUUCGGGUUGUAAAGCACUUUCAGCGGGGAGGAAGGCGGUGAGGUUAAUAACCUCA
rnacentral:rRNA from 1 species